rnacentral:rRNA from 1 species
CGGACAGGUGAGUAACGCGUGGAAAACCUGCCGUAUACUGGGGGAUAACACUUAGAAAUAGGUGCUCAUACCGCAUAAGCGCACAGCUUCGCAUGAAGCGGUGUGAAAAACUCUGGUGGUAUACGAUGGUUCCGCGUCUGAUUAGCUAGUUGGUGGGGUAAUGGCCUACCAAGGCAACGAUCAGUAGCCGGCCUGAGAGGGUGAACGGCCACAUUGGGACUGAGACACGGCCCAAACUCCUACGGAAGGCAGCAG